UACAGAGGCCUCAAGCGUUAUCCGGAUUUAUUGGGCGUAAAGGGUCCGCAGGUGGUUUGAUGCGUCUUGCGUUAAAUGUUGAGGCUCAACUUCAACGCCGCGCAAGAUACGAUCGAACUAGAGGCCGGAAGAGGUAAGCGGAAUUGCCGGUGUAGUAGUAAUAUGCGUUCAUAUCGGCAAGAACACCAAAUGCGAAGGCAGCUUACUGGGACGCGCCUGACACUCAGGGACGAAAGCGUGGGGAGCGAAAGGG
rnacentral:rRNA from 1 species